rnacentral:RNase_P_RNA from 1 species
GAGAGGGAGAGGGCGGCCGACGGUGGCUUUUGCCGCUGAGGAAAGUCCCCCCACCAUCCGGAUACGCAGCUGCACGCAAGUGCAGGUGGCGAGAGUCACGGCAAUGACACAGAAACGACACGGCCUGCCGACAGUGAUGAUGCGAACGAUCGCUGAACGCAGCGGUAGGAUUCGAUGAAACGGUGAAUCCCUGCGGGUGCAAGCCAGAAAAGGACUGAUGGAUCGUCCGGAAUCCGUCCAGGUUUGGCGCUUAGCUGAAUGCUGCCCAGAACAGAAGGGGGCUUACUCCUCCCACUC